GGAUUCUGCAUAUAAUGUGUCAAUAUGACCUUGUAGGUGACCAAAUGCUUUCUCCUUCUCACAAGAAAAUUGUUAAGGAUCGCAUUACGCAUGCUCCAAGAUUCUGAUUCCACAGCUCUGGGGCAGGACCAGAGUUCUGCAUUUCCAGCAGGCUCAGUGGUGAUGCCAAUGUUGCUGUUCCAAGAACCACAUAUUGAAUAGCAAAGUCCUAAACAGGCCUGCCUCAAACAUGUCUCGUAAAUGUCUGUGACUUUUCAUAGGAAGACAGUAUCUUGAAAUGCCAGAUCUAUUCUGGAAAUAGAGAAGUAAGGAGAGACCCAGAUAAGAAUAAUGUGCAUCGUUAUUUUGGCUUUGGAAGAAAAAGAUAAGCCCGGUGAAAGGACGUUCAAGCAAAUGAGAACAGAGACAAAUGUGUUGAGGGCAAUUUUCCCAGAAGGGGACAUCUGGCAAUGUCUGUAGGCAUUUUUGAUUGCCACAACUGCGGAAGUAGAAGCCAAGGACGUUGCAAAACAUCCUACAAUGCACAGAGCAGUUCCUCACAACAGAGAAUGCUCUGGUCCAAAUGUCAAUAGUACCAACGUUGGGAAACUGAUGUGACUACGUGGUAAGUCGAGAGAUUCAGCAUCAUACUUUUUUUUGGAACUUUAAGUAUCCUCCACCCCACUGCCUUU